rnacentral:rRNA from 1 species
CCUACGUGUGGCAGCAGUGAGGAAUAUUGGUCAAUGGGCGCGAGCCUGAACCAGCCAAGUCGCGUGAGGGAAGACGGUCCUAUGGAUUGUAAACCUCUUUUGCCGGGGAGCAAGCUGGGUCACGUGUGACCCAGCUGAGAGUACCCGGAGAAAAAGCAUCGGCUAACUCCGUGCCAGCAGCCGCGGUAAUACGGAGGAUGCGAGCGUUAUCCGGAUUUAUUGGGUUUAAAGGGUGCGUAGGCGGACUGUCAAGUCAGCGGUAAAAGUGAGAGGCUCAACCGUAAAAUUGCAAUUGAUACUGGCAGUCUUGAGUACAGUUGAGGUAGGCGGAAUUCGUGGUGUAGCGGUGAAAUGCUUAGAUAUCACGAAGAACCCCGAUUGCGAAGGCAGCUUACUAAACUGUGACUGACAUUGAUGCUCGAAAGUGUGGGUAUCAAACAGGAUUAGAUACCCUAGUAGUC